CUUGCAUUAGUACAUUGACGCGUACAUGUUUUUCUGUUGGCUACAUACAGGUAAAAUUCUUUAUCGUAGUGCUGUUUUAGUGUCUCAAAAGCUAUUUUAGCUUCAGUUGUCCAUUUUAACACUGCUUUAAACAACUGGUUUCCUGCUUCUUUUAGGAGUUCUCUAAACGAUGCUGUUUUCCUGCAUAGUUUUCAAUCCAGUCUGCAUUGAAACCUGUCAUUCCCAACAAUGUCAUCAUUUCGCUGACUGUCCGUGGACUUGGAGCUUUGCUAAAACCUUCCAGUUGAGAAGGUGAAAUGCUAACUCUUCCUUGAGAGGUCCUUUUGUCUCUCCUCGGGCGGGGGAGAGAGGGAGAGGAGGGGCAACGCUCCGGGAGGAGGGAGUGAAAAGCGUUGUGUGUGUGGCUCUCCUUGCCUGCGUAGAGCUGUAUGUGUGGUUCCUCUGCCUGAGGAGAACUUAGUGUGUGUGUGCAAGAUUUUCCUUCGGGCGGGGGAGAGAGCUACUUGGCAGUCUUUAACUAACAGGCUAAAAAUAACUCAGCCUGCCAGUGGUUCUGCCCCACUGACAGGCAAAAAAGGCAGACGGAGCCGUCUCCUUCCCCAAACAAAACAGUCUUUCAAAUACAAAGUUUAAAUACCUGCACCCACAUCUUAACAACAUAACAGCUUCAAAAAGUAUACACACCUUGGUCCACCAAGAUUUCCUUACAACAAUAAAAGUUUCCAAGCACUUUUUAGCUCAUCAACCUAGACAGCUUUACCUCUAACAGUGGGACUUGAAUACAAAAAAAAAAACAAACAAAAACAAAACAAAAGCAACCAUGCAGUUUCAUUCAUCCAUGCGUUUUAGUCAUCCAAUAAAGCUCUCAUCCUUUAUAAUCACACGUAGACGUCAACAACAAUCACACAUUCUUAAUCAUCACCUUUCAACAUUCCCACAUUCUCACGUUUUCCUUUCACUCUCACUCUCCCGGGAGACUUAUUGUUUUUCUUAAAGGUCCAAAUGUUCAAUGUUCCUGGAUUUUAACUGUGCGCACAGAAAAUUUAAAUCAGGUUUUUUAUGGGACCCAGAGCAAAAAAAAAAAAAAGUUAAAAAUAAACAUUUAUACUUCACGUGCACCAGCAAGGCCUCUUUGCUUCAAAUUUGAUAGGAGGCUUUUACCUCGUUUGCCUAAACCUGGAGUACUCAACCAAAAACAGACUGCAGUCAACUCUGUUAAGGCCACAUUUUCAUCGGAGUUCCACGCAUGGAAUGAUCCGAGAACUGCCUUUUUUCUUCUUCAAGCGCUUACAUUAACAGGGCCGCGCCCUAAAGACUCCGACCAACCGAACAUUUAUAAGAUCAAUUCUUUCAGAAAUGAUCUCUUUGAUUCUAAAAAGUUAUGUAUAUUAGAAAAACUUCAGCAAAGACCCGUACUGGUCCGAUUCAUUUCUUAUACGCCGUCUGUCAGGGUUGAGUUUUGUUUCUUGUUGUCUGAGUUCAGUUCCCCUCACGUUGCUUACCCUCCAGUAAUCAGUUACACCUGUUAGGUCUGCAAUCAGACAGAAUCCACUCCACCUGUUAGUUUCUCUAUUUAAGCCUCACUCUACCUUCAGUUUCUCGCUGGUUCGUCUUCACUCAUCCUUCAAUCACCUGAUGUUCAGAAAGAGAUUAUUCCCACGUCUUCCUGGAUGUCACCUUCUGUUCCUCGUUUGGCUCCCGAGUCCUCCGUAUCUGCCCGCUCCCUCCAGCAUCAAGUAAGUCCAUCUUCCUCUGUUGGACUAAUCCUGUCUCCCCUGUGCCAGGAUUCUCAGCCUGCUCUGGGGGUACCCGUUUCUACGGCGCAGCAACCGCAGCGUCCCAGCAACCUCCAGCAGUUCAGUCCUUCCUGUCAUCCUUGCAAUAAACAUUACUGAACUGUG